UCGCAUGGGCGAAGCCUGACGGAGCAACGCCGCGUGAGUGAUGAAGGUCUUAGGAUCGUAAAACUCUGUUAUUAGGGAAGAACAAACGUGUAAGUAACUGUGCACGUCUUGACGGUACCUAAUCAGAAAGCCACGGCUAACUACGUGCCAGCAGCCGCGGUAAUACGUAGGUGGCAAGCGUUAUCCGGAAUUAUUGGGCGUAAAGCGCGCGUAGGCGGUUUUUUAAGUCUGAUGUGAAAGCCCACGGCUCAACCGUGGAGGGUCAUUGGAAACUGGAAAACUUGAGUGCAGAAGAGGAAAGUGGAAUUCCAUGUGUAGCGGUGAAAUGCGCAAAGAUAUGGAGGAACACCAGUGGCGAAGGCGACUUUCUGGUCUGUAACUGACGCUGAUGUGCGAAAGCGUGGGGAUCAAACAGGAUUAGAUACCCUGGUAGUCCACGCCGUAAACGAUGAGUGCUAAGUGUUAGGGGGUUUCCGCCCCUUAGUGCUGCAGCUAACGCAUUAAGCACUCCGCCUGGGGAGUACGACCGCAAGGUUGAAACUCAAAUGAAAUUGACGG
rnacentral:rRNA from 1 species